UAAAGAAAAAAUAGGAAUGCGAUAGGU
rnacentral:sRNA from 1 species